rnacentral:rRNA from 1 species
AGAACGAACGCUGGCGGCACGCCUAACACAUGCAAGUCGAGCGCCCAGCAAUGGGAGCGGCGGACGGGUGAGGAACACGUGGGAACAUGCCUUUCGGUUCGGCACAACUGCGGGAAACUGCAGCUAAUUCCGGAUACGCCCUUACGGGGAAAGAUUUAUCGCCGAAAGAUUGGCCCGCGUCUGAUUAGCUAGUUGGUGAGGUAAUGGCUCACCAAGGCUUCGAUCAGUAGCUGGUUUGAGAGAACGACCAGCCACACUGGGACUGAGACACGGCCCAGACUCCUACGGGAGGCAGCAGUGGGGAAUAUUGGACAAUGGGCGAAAGCCUGAUCCAGCCAUGCCGCGUGGAUGAUGAAGGCCUUAGGGUUGUAAAGUCCUUUUAACGGGGAAGAUAAUGACGGUACCCGUAGAAUAAGCCCCGGCUACUUCGUGCCAGCAGCCGC